GACGAACGCUGGCGGCGUGCCUAAUACAUGCAAGUCGAGCGGACAGACGGGAGCUUGCUCCCUGAUGUUAGCGGCGGACGGGUGAGUAACACGUGGGUAACCUGCCUGUAAGACUGGGAUAACUCCGGGAAACCGGGGCUAAUACCGGAUGGUUGUCUGAACCGCAUGGUUCAGACAUAAAAGGUGGCUUCGGCUACCACUUACGGAUGGACCCGCGGCGCAUUAGCUAGUUGGUGAGGUAACGGCUCACCAAGGCAACGAUGCGUAGCCGACCUGAGAGGGUGAUCGGCCACACUGGGACUGAGACACGGCCCAGACUCCUACGGGAGGCAGCAGUAGGGAAUCUUCCGCAAUGGACGAAAGUCUGACGGAGCAACGCCGCGUGAGUGAUGAAGGUUUUCGGAUCGUAAAGCUCUGUUGUUAGGGAAGAACAAGUGCCGUUCAAAUAGGGCGGCACCUUGACGGUACCUAACCAGAAAGCCACGGCUAACUACGUG
rnacentral:rRNA from 1 species